rnacentral:rRNA from 1 species
UCGGGAAUUUUGGGCAAUGGGCGAAAGCCUGACCCAGCAACGCCGCGUGAAGGAUGAAGUAUUUCGGUAUGUAAACUUCGAAAGAAUAGGAAGAAUAAAUGACGGUACUAUUUAUAAGGUCCGGCUAACUACGUGCCAGCAGCCGCGGUAAUACGUAGGGACCAAGCGUUGUUCGGAUUUACUGGGCGUAAGGAGCUCGUAGGCGGUUGCGUAAGUCGGAUGUGAAAACUCAGGGCUCAACCCUGAGACGCCAUCCGAUACUGCGCUGACUUGAAUCCAGUAGGGGAGUGUGGAAUUCCUGGUGUAGCGGUGAAAUGCGCAGAUAUCAGGAGGAACACCCAUGGCGAAGGCAGCACUCUGGGCUGGUAUUGACGCUGAGGAGCGAAAGCAUGGGUAGCGAACAGGAUUAGAUACCCGAGUAGUCCCUGAGCGGGCUGGCAAGGCGCAU